AACCUUAUGGACCUGCGGGCGUAUACCUGCGGAGGGAUCAUUAAUGAAUAAACUUGGUCAAGCUGUUGCUGGUCUCUCGGGAUAUGCGCACGCUUGCCACCAAUUUUAACCACCUGUGCACUUCUUGUAGAUUGGAAACGUUUCUCGAGGCAACUCGGAUUGAGAACUGCUGUGCGAAAGCCGGCUGUUCUUGUGUUUCUCAGUCUAUGUUUCAUAUACUCCGAAUGUAUGUAUAAGAAU
rnacentral:misc_RNA from 1 species